GAUACAUUCUCCUCCCAUCAUCAGCAGAUAAGCAAAUCCAAGCAUCAGAGCUGGAUCUCACUCUAUUUAUAUGAUGUGAUGGUGUCUGUUAAACUUUGGAGAACAGAGAAGACUCCAGUACAAACAACACACACCAUGUUCUCUACAUCUCUACUGCUCCUGCUGGCAGCUGCUUCUUAUGUACAUGGUGUGGAACUGACUCAGCCUGCUUCCAUGACAGUCCAGCCAGGCCAGAGUCUCUCCAUCCACUGCAAGGUUUCAUAUUCAGUUACGAGCUAUGAUACAGGUUGGAUCCGACAACCUGCAGGAAAAGCUCUGGAGUGGAUUGGAUACAUCAGUAGUGGUGGGAGUACAGCUUACAGUGACAAACUGAAAAAUAAGUUCAGCAUCUCCAGAGACACUUCUACUAACACAAUAACAAUUGGAGGACAGAACAUGCAGACUGAAGACACAGCUGUGUAUUACUGCGCUAGUUACACACAGUGAGACAGAAUAGUGGAUUCCU